UUUGGUUUGGUUUAGAGUCUUUAGUUUGGGUCUUUGAUUUAGAGUCUUAAGUUUGGGACUUUGGUUUGUUAAAUGUCUUUAGUUUGGGCCUUUGGUUUGGUUUAGAGUCUUUAGUUUGGGCCUUUGGAUUGGUUUAGAGUCUUUAGUUUGGGUCUUUGGUUUGGUUUAGAGUCUUUAGUUUGGGUCUUUGGUUUGGUUUAGUCUUUAGUUUGGGUAUAAUGAGUCAGAUUACAGAACAUGUAGCUAGGACUCCUAGACAUAAUGACUCAGGUUACAGACCAUGUAGCUAGGACCCCUAGACAUAAUGAGUCAGGUUACAGACCAUGUAGCUAGGACCCCUAGACAUAAUGAGUCAGGUUACAGACCAUGUAGCUAGGACCCCUAGACAUAAUGAGUCAGGUUACAGACCAUGUAGCUAGGACCCCUAGACAUAAUGAGUCAGGUUACAGACCAUGUAGCUAGGACCCCUAGACAUAAUGAGUCAGGUUACAGACCAUGUAGCUAGGACCCCUAGACAUAAUGAGUCAGGUUACAGACCAUGUAGCUAGGACCCCUAGACAUAAUGAGUCAGGUUACAGACCAUGUAGCUAGGACCCCUAGACAUAAUGAGUCAGGUUACAGACCAUGUAGCUAGGACCCCUAGACAUAAUGAGUCAGGUUACAGACCAUGUAGCUAGGACCCCUAGACAUAAUGAGUCAGGUUACAGACCAUGUAGCUAGGACCCCUAGACAUAAUGAGUCAGGUUACAGACCAUGUAGCUAGGACCCCUAGACAUAAUGAGUCAGGUUACAGACCAUGUAGCUAGGACCCCUAGACAUAAUGAGUCAGGUUACAGACCAUGUAGCUAGGACCCCUAGACAUAAUGAGUCAGGUUACAGACCAUGUAGCUAGGACCCCUAGACAUAAUGAGUCAGGUUACAGACCAUGUAGCUAGGACCCCUAGACAUAAUGAGUCAGGUUACAUGUAGCUAGGACCCCUAGACAUAAUGAGUCAGGUUACAUGUAGCUAGGACCCCUAGACAUAAUGAGUCAGGUUACAGACCAUGUAGCUAGGACCCCUAGACAUAAUGAGUCAGGUUACAGACCAUGUAGCUAGGACCCCUAGACAUAAUGAGUCAGGUUACAUGUAGCUAGGACCCCUAGACAUAAUGAGUCAGGUUACAGACCAUGUAGCUAGGACCCCUAGACAUAAUGAGUCAGGUUACAGACCAUGUAGCUAGGACCACUAGACAUAAUGAGUCAGGUUACAGACCAUGUAGCUAG